rnacentral:rRNA from 1 species
GGGCGCGAGCGUUGUCCGGAUUAUUGGGCGUAAAGAGCUCGUAGGCGGCUUGUUGCGUCGGCUGUGAAAACCCGCGGCUUAACCGCGGGCCUGCAGCCGAUACGGGCAGGCUAGAGUUCGGCAGGGGAGACUGGAAUUCCUGGUGUAGCGGUGAAAUGCGUAGAUAUCGGGAGGAACACCAGUGGCGAAAGCGGCUUCCUGGUCCAGCACCGACGUCAGGCACGAAAGCGUGGGGAGCAAACAGG